CCCCACUGCUAUCGGGAUGGGACUAAGACAUGCUAGUCGAGCGUCUCCAAGCUAUGGAAGAGACGCGGCACACAGCUCAGUAACACGUGGCUAACCUGCCCUUGGGACAAGGACAACUCCGGGAAACUGGGGCUAAUCCCUGAUAAGUGAGAACUCCUGGAAUGGAUUCUCGCUCAAAGGACGUUUAGACCAUGCUUCUAGGCGUCGCCCAAGGAGGGGGCCGCGACCGAUCAGGUUGUUGGUGAGGUAACGGCUCACCAAGCCUUUAACCGGUACGGGCCGUGAGAGCGGAAGCCCGGAGAUGGGCACUGAGACAAGGGCCCAGGCCCUACGGGGCGCAGCAGUCGCGAAAACUCCGCAAUACACGAAAGUGUGACGGGGCUAUCCCGAGUGCCAUCCGCUGAGGAUGGCUUUUCCCCAGUGUAUAAAGCUGGGGGAAUAAGGAGAGGGCAAGCCUGGUGUCAGCCGCCGCGGUAAUACCAGCUCUCCGAGUGGUGGGGAUGUUUAUUGGGCCUAAAGCAUUCGUAGCCUGCUUGGCAGGUCCUCCGUUAAAUCCAACGAUUCAAUCGUUGGGCUGCGGGGGAUACUGUCCAGCUAGGGGGCGGGAGAGGCCGACGGUAUCCCCGGGGUAGGGGUGAAAUCCUAUAACCCCGGGAGGACCACCAGUGGCGAAGGCUGUCGGCUAGAACGCGCUCGACGGUGAGGGAUGAAAGCUGGGGGAGCGAACCGGAUUAGAUACCCGGGUAGUCCCAGCUGUAAACGAUGCAGGCUGGGUGUUGGCGCGGCUACGUGCCGCUCCAGUGCCGCAGGGAAGCCGUUAAGCCUGCCGCCUGGGAAGUACGGCCGCAAGGCUGAAACUUAAAGGAAUUGGCGGGGGAGCACCACAAGGUGUGAAGCUUGCGGUUUAAU
rnacentral:rRNA from 1 species